GACGAACGCUGGCGGCGUGCUUAACACAUGCAAGUCGAGCGGUAAGGCCCUUUCGGGGGUACACGAGCGGCGAACGGGUGAGUAACACGUGGGUGACCUGCCCUCAGCUCUGGGAUAAGCCUGGGAAACUGGGUCUAAUACUGGAUAUGACUCCACGGUGCAUGUCGUGGGGUGGAAAGCCUUGUGCGGCUGAGGAUGGGCCCGCGGCCUAUCAGCUUGUUGGUGGGGUGANGGCCUACCAAGGCGACGACGGGUAGCCGGCCUGAGAGGGCGACCGGCCACACUGGGACUGAGACACGGCCCUGACUCCUACGGGAGGCAGCAGUGGGGAAUCUUGCGCAAUGGGCGAAAGCCUGACGCAGCGACGCCGCGUGAGGGAUGACGGCCU
rnacentral:rRNA from 1 species